UCACCAUUUUAAUUGUACAUGUAACCCAAGAGAACCACCUUCCAGCUGCACUUUUACCCUUAUCUGGGAGAGGAGGAACCUUGUCGAGGAAGUGAGGGCUUCUAUUUUCCCCACGUUGCACUACUCAGUGAGACAGAGAGACAAGUUCCUCCUCAGAGCACCCUGCUCAUCCCCACUGACAAAAGGUGCCUUCAUGAAAGGAAAUGCAAAAUGCAUUUACUUGCUAGAUACUACUUGAAAUCCUGAGGGACUCAUCCAGUUCCACGUUCUUGACCAUCUGAAAGCCAGCAGCAGCCAGAAGAUGUAGAGAACGAGCCCUUUUAUGCAGAAGACACUGUCAUGAGUCUUCAAUGGGGAGACCAGGAUCAGCUUCUGAGAAUCAGCUGAAGACACCUAACAGAGAUCAGCUGCGUUUUGGCAAAGCUGCUCUGAAAC
rnacentral:lncRNA from 1 species